AAGCACUGUCAACAUUUUAUUUUGUUUUUGUUUUCCAUCUUGGUUUGUUUUUUAAUUUCCAGAAAGCACAUUUUACUUUUUCUACUUUGGAAACAUUCAGGUUUUGCAUGGGCUUAACCCAGACAUAGUUUUACCCUUUACAGGAAUCCUUCUUGAGGCUUAAAUAUUUCAGGAGGGGUUAAAACCACAGGGGAAACAUCAUAAACCCUUUGAAGCACAAAAGCAGCAGCCAAUCUGCACAUUCAGUUACUGCUUUCAUUUUUAAAAAUUCAUAAGAGACCUUUAUGACACAGAAUCACUCUGCAUGUAGCUCUUCCACAUAGAAUUGCUUAUUUACAGAUUAAAAGCCUUACAUUCUGCCAAGAUAGACAAUAAUUACUCUCUUGAGGAUUAUGCAACGGCGCUCUUGCAAUAUUUUUUACAUAAUUAAGUGCCCAACUCAUAGCUCACCAAGGAACAAAGCAUAAUUGCACAUGCUACCCUCUGAAGAUUUCGCACCAAACUCAAAAUUUCCCCCGUGUCGGAAAAACUACAGUAGAGCUCCAUUCAAGGGCUUUGAUCAUUAAUUCAGAAAACUAUUACUGAAAGCAAAAAAGAAAAGAAAUACAGUCAUUACUGAAUG
rnacentral:lncRNA from 1 species